UACGGAGGGUGCAAGCGUUAUCCGGAAUCACUGGGUUUAAAGGGUACGUAGGCGGUCAUAUAAGUCAGGUGUGAAAUACCGCGGCCUAACUGCGGAACUGCACUUGAUACUGUAUGACUUGAGUAGGGUGGAGGUACACGGAAUGCAUCAUGUAGCGGUGAAAUGCUUAGAUAUGAUGUAGAACACCGAUAGCGAAGGCAGUGUGCCACACCUUCACUGACGCUGAGGUACGAAAGCGUGGGGAGCGAACAGGAUUAGAUACCCUGGUAGUCCACGCCCUAAACGAUGCUAACUGGACAUUUGGACGAAUGAGUUUGGGUGUCUGAGGGAAACCAUUAAGUUAGCCACCUGGGGAGUACGUUCGCAAGAAUG
rnacentral:rRNA from 1 species